rnacentral:lncRNA from 1 species
GUGUUUCAAAAUUUUCCAGGGGAAGAACCCUGACCCUCCUACUAGGACAGUAUUUCAUAACUUUCCAAGGCGGGUGGCGAGAGAGACCUCUGACACCCCCCCACUCCUCCCCCAACAUGGCCAGAGGCCACCCACCACCUUCCGAUAACUACAUGCUCUCUAUGCUUCCAGCGACAACAACUUCAUUCUAAACUGGUUUCUCUUACAGUUAAAUAUUUCUGGGUCCAGGCCUACACAGAGCAGUUAAAGUCGAAACAUAGAUAAAGAGUUGAUAAUAUGUAGGCUUAUGUAAGAUCAUACUUGCUGGAAAUCCUCAGUUUUGACUGCAUAUAAGGGGUAGACCAAGGCCAGGAUAUUGGGUUUGUUGGUCGAUUCAUCAGAAGGCUGUGCCCUCUGCAAGUGCCUCAGCAACUCUAGAUUUGUCUGUUGUAAAUAUUUAUACCUGUUACAAUGGACAAUUUCGCUGUCUACAUAUUAAGCCAACUUACUAAUAGUGUUAGUGGAUUCAGUGUUGUUAUAAAUAUUUUCUGGUCCCCUUUUGGUCUAUGGUGAUCGACUGCUCGAUGUUCAUGGGUAGUAGAGUUCCGCUUAAGCCAGUGCUAGGGGCAUGAGGGGUGUCGCACUUUCCACUACCUCUCAUGAACUGACCAAGUCUGCUAGUAUGUUGCUUGGUUGCAUUCUAAGCUUCCAAAGGAUCUUCUGACAGUUUUUGUUAUUUUGAAAUUGAAUUAAAGUAGCCUUAAACUUCUCCCACUUAAGCUCUUCAUAUCAAUAACAAGAGUGUGAGACUGUCACAAAAUACGCUCGUCAUCGAACUUGGCCUAGUUCAAGGGCCAUAAUCAAAGACUGUCCAGGGUGUUUGGCUGGUUAUCGAACUUGGCCGAGAUAUUAUGCCCACACACAUUGUCAGCAAGUUUGGUGAAGAUGGGAAAACCCAGUGAAAAUUGUUCAACUUAAGAGAGCUGAAAAGUCUAAAUUUGCAGUUUUUUUAGUUAUUCAAGGGCUAUAAUCCAAGAGAGCCCGAGGCGAUUUAGAUGGUUAUCAAACUUGACCGAGAUAUUAUACCCACAAAUUGUCAGCAAGUUUCGUGAAGGUUAGAUGAAAACUGUUUGACUUAGAAAGUGGACAUGCUUUGGAUGCAGACCGCCCACCACCACAGGUGUUCACAGAAUACACCCCGCUCUUUCAGAAACGGUGUAUAAAAAUGCAAAUUCAUGCAUAAGACUUUUGGUGUGCAUCCCUCUUAAUCCACUUACAAAACAAACAAGCACAACCUCUUUCCCAAACAGUUUACCUCAAUUUUUAAAUAGAGGAUGAAGAUUUGAUUCAUAGCAAACGCUAGGCAAAUAUUUUUCAUGCCUAUUUUCAAGAGGGGCUUUAUAAUACAAAGGCCCAGAUGGCCUGUUAGUCUGAAGAUCUAAGUUGCAAAUCUCCAGCUAUUUCUAACCUUAAACCAGGUAAAAACUGAAAUUGAAGAAUGGAUUUUCCUAGCUCACCGUAAUACCUUUCAAUCUGAAUGAAUGUCGACCUUCUGACUAAGUGUACAAUGGACUGACAGGCCUUCAGACAGAUGACUGGGUGGCAGUCAUCUCUUUCCGACUACGCUCUUAGGUCAAUUUUGGGACUAGUAGGCCUUCCGACUGACAGGCCUUUUGGACUUGCAGACCACUGACCUUCAGACCAAUAGGCAGUCACUCACCCUUUCUGUCAUGUUCAUAAAACUUUUAUUUACUUUACAUUUUCAACAAACUGUAAGGAAAUUGUUAACUUACCAAUCAAAACAGUCAUGUUCAGGGCACAAACCUACAAUUUUAUAUAUAGUAAAUCUAACGUUUGCACAGUACAUGUCUUGCCAACAGCAGUACUUAAACAAACAUUAAAGAUGAACCUUAUCUACUUAUAUUUUUCAGACUGUCUUCUAAGUUGACUGCGGAAAGUGCAAAACUAUUAUCAGCAUAAUGUUGUGUUCAGUUACUGCACAUUGCAAAGUGAAUGUUCUCAGUAACAGUUUACUGCAAUGAUUCACUUGAAAUGAUGUUUCCUACCACCAAUUUAUGGUUUGUGAGUGGAAGUUGUCAGCUACUUACAGAGAGAACUUAGUCCAUUAAGCACUAGACAAAUUGGAUACAGCCAUGAAACAAAUUACAGAUACAGAUGUAUGAAAAACAGACAAAAAGUUUCAAACAGAUUCAAAGAGUGGGUAAAACAGAACCUUCAAAACAAAUCAUUCUACUGACUGUAAAAUAUGAAAAAUAAAGAAUUAUUGUUCUGUAACUUGUUAUUUUUACCUAAAUUUCAUAUACUAUCCACUAAACUUUGUUAGGCCAUAUAAGAUAAUUCAAUAUGUACCGUUUCUGUUAGUUUCUGAGCUUCCAUUUUAUAUUACAUGAACUGUGAUGCAAUAGAAAAAAACAAGA